AGAUUGAACGCUGGCGGCAUGCCUUACACAUGCAAGUCGAACGGCAGCACGGGGGCAACCCUGGUGGCGAGUGGCGAACGGGUGAGUAAUACAUCGGAACGUAUCCAGUAGCGGGGGAUAACCUCUCGAAAGAGAGGCUAAUACCGCAUACGACCUACGGGUGAAAGAGGGGGAUCGCAAGACCUCUCACUAUUGGAGCGGCCGAUGUCGGAUUAGCUAGUUGGUGGGGUAAAAGCCCACCAAGGCUACGAUCCGUAGCUGGUCUGAGAGGACGACCAGCCACACUGGAACUGAGACACGGUCCAGACUCCUACGGGAGGCAGCAGUGGGAAUUUGGACAAUGGGCGCAAGCCUGAUCCAGCCAUGCCGCGUGGGUGAAGAAGGCCGUUCGGGUUAGUAACGUCCUUUCGG
rnacentral:rRNA from 1 species